AAAAGCUCGUAGUUGGAUCUCAGUUCCAGACGGGUGGUCCGCCUACCGGUGGUUACUGCCUGUUCUGAACAGCCAGCCGGUUUCUCUUGAUGAUCUUCACCGGUUGUCUUGGGUGACCGGCAAGUUUACUUUGAAAAAAUUAGAGUGCUCAAAGCAGGCGCGACGCCUGAAUAAUGGUGCAUGGAAUAAUGGAAUAGGACCUCGGUUCUAUUUUGUUGGUUUUCGGAACACGAGGUAAUGAUUAAGAGGGACAGACGGGGGCAUUCGUAUUGCGACGCUAGAGGUGAAAAAAGUUAGAGGUUCGAAGGCGAUCAGAUACCGCCCUAGUUCUAACCAUAAACGAUGCCAGCCAGCGAUCCGGCUGUGUUCCUCAAAUGACACGCCGGGCAGCUUCCGGGAAACCAAAGCUUUUGGGUUCCGGGGGAAGUAUGGUUGCAAAGCUGAAACUUAAAGGAAUUGACGGAAGGGCACCACCAGGAAUGGAGCCUGCGGCUUAAUUUGACUCAACACGGGAAAACUUACCCGGCCCGGACACAGGAAGGAUUGACAGAUUAAGAGCUCUUUCUUGAUUCUGUGGGUGGUGGUGCAUGGCCGUUCUUAGUUGGUGGAGCGAUUUGUCUGGUUAAUUCCGAUAACGAACGAGACUCUAGCCUACUAAAUAGACGUUCCGAUCAUCUCCGUCGGACGUUCUUCUUAGAGGGACAAGCGGCGUUUAGCCGCACGAGACAGAGCAAUAACAGGUCUGUGAUGCCCUUAGAUGUCCGGGGCCGCACGCGCGCUACAUUGAAGGAAUCAACGUGUGUUCCCUGUCCGACAGGACUGGGUAACCCGUGGAACCUCCUUCGUGCUAGGGAUUGAAUCGUGUAACAAAUUCAUGAACGAGGAAUUCCCAGUAAGCACGAGUCAUCAGCUCGUGUUGAUUACGUCCCUGCCCUUUGUACACACCGCCCGUCGCUACUACCGAUUGAAUGAUUUAGUGAGGUCUUCGGACUGGCGCUCGGAGCGGCCUUCGGGUCGCGCCGGCGUGCCGGAAAGAUGACCAAACUUGAUCAUUUCGUAAGAGUACCGGAGGCAAGGCCCCCAGAAAACAACUAGCCACCAAAGCAGCUCGUAAGAGCGCACCCGCUACCGGUGGCGUUAAGAAACCCCAUCGUUACAGGCCCGGUACUGUCGCUCUCCGAGAAAUUCGUCGUUACCAGAAGUCUACCGAACUUCUCAUCCGUAAGCUUCCUUUCCAACGUCUCGUUAGAGAGAUCGCUCAGGAUUUUAAAACGGAUCUCCGCUUUCAGAGUUCGGCUGUCAUGGCUCUCCAGGAAGCCAGCGAAGCUUAUUUGGUCGGAUUGUUCGAAGAUACCAACUUGUGCGCUAUUCACGCCAAGCGC
rnacentral:rRNA from 1 species